rnacentral:rRNA from 1 species
UGGGGAAUAUUGCACAAUGGAGGGAACUCUGAUGCAGCGACGCCGCGUGAACGAAGAAGGCUUUCGAGUCGUAAAGUUCUUUUAUAUGGGAAGAUAAUUACGGUACCAUAAGAAAAAGCCCCGGCUAACUACGUGCCAGCAGCCGCGGUAAUACGUAGGGGGCUAGCGUUGUCCGGAAUCACUGUGCGUAAAGGGUUCGCAGGCGGAAAUGCAAGUCAGGUGUAAAAGGCAGUAGCUUAACUACUGUAAGCAUUUGAAACUGCAUAUCUUGAGAAGAGUAGAGGUAAGUGGAAUUUUUAGUGUAGCGGUGAAAUGCGUAGAUAUUAAAAAGAAUACCGGUGGGGAAGGCGACUUACUGGGAUCAUUCUAACGGUGAGGAACGAAAGGGUGGGUAGCAAACAGG